rnacentral:rRNA from 1 species
UUCCGGUUGAUCCUGCCGGAGGCCACUGCUAUGGGGGUCCGACUAAGCCAUGCGAGUCGAGGGGGCGUCCCUUCUGGGACGCCACCGGCGGACGGCUCAGUAACACGUCGGUAACCUACCCUCGGGAGGGGGAUAACCCCGGGAAACUGGGGCUAAUCCCCCAUAGGCCUGGGGUACUGGAAGGUCCCCAGGCCGAAAGGGGACCGUUAGGUCCCGCCCGAGGAUGGGCCGGCGGCCGAUUAGGUAGUUGGUGGGGUAACGGCCCACCAAGCCGAAGAUCGGUACGGGCCGUGAGAGCGGGAGCCCGGAGAUGGACACUGAGACACGGGUCCAGGCCCUACGGGGCGCAGCAGGCGCGAAACCUCCGCAAUGCGGGAAACCACGACGGGGGGACCCCCAGUGCCGUGCCUCUGGCACGGCUUUUCCGGAGUGUAAAAAGCUCCGGGAAUAAGGGCUGGGCAAGGCCGGUGGCAGCCGCCGCGGUAAUACCGGCGGCCCGAGUGGUGGCCACUAUUAUUGGGCCUAAAGCGGCCGUAGCCGGGCCCGUAAGUCCCUGGCGAAAUCCCACGGCUCAACCGUGGGGCUCGCUGGGGAUACUGCGGGCCUUGGGACCGGGAGAGGCCGGGGGUACCCCCGGGGUAGGGGUGAAAUCCUAUAAUCCCGGGGGGACCGCCAGUGGCGAAGGCGCCCGGCUGGAACGGGUCCGACGGUGAGGGCCGAAGGCCAGGGGAGCGAACCGGAUUAGAUACCCGGGUAGUCCUGGCUGUAAAGGAUGCGGGCUAGGUGUCGGGCGAGCUUCGAGCUCGCCCGGUGCCGUAGGGAAGCCGUUAAGCCCGCCGCCUGGGGAGUACGGCCGCAAGGCUGAAACUUAAAGGAAUUGGCGGGGGAGCACUACAAGGGGUGGAGCGUGCGGUUCAAUUGGAAUCAACGCCGGG